GUGAAGCGGCAACAGCUCAAAUUUGAAAGCUAGCCUUCGGGUUCGCAUUGUAAUUUGUAGAGGAUGAUUUGGGGAAGCCGCCUGUCUAAGUUCCUUGGAACAGGACGUCAUAGAGGGUGAGAAUCCCGUAUGUGACAGGAAAUGGCACCCUAUGUAAAUCUCCUUCGACGAGUCGAGUUGUUUGGGAAUGCAGCUCUAAAUGGGAGGUAAAUUUCUUCUAAAGCUAAAUAUUGGCGAGAGACCGAUAGCGCACAAGUAGAGUGAUCGAAAGAUGAAAAGCACUUUGGAAAGAGAGUUAAAAAGCACGUGAAAUUGUUGAAAGGGAAGCGCUUGCAAUCAGACUUGUUUAAACUGUUCGGCCGGUCUUCUGACCGGUUUACUCAGUUUGGACAGGCCAGCAUCAGUUUCGGCGGCCGGAUAAAGGCUCUGGGAAUGUGGCCCUCCACUUCGGUGGAGGUGUUAUAGCCCAGGGUGUAAUACGGCCAGCCGGGACUGAGGUCCGCGCUUCGGCUAGGAUGCUGGCGUAAUGGUUGUAAGCGACCCGU
rnacentral:rRNA from 1 species